AGAAAAAACGCUUGAGGGCUUUUACUUUGAAAUCAGCAGGAAGUGUUGAUUUAAAAAUAAGUCUUUAUUUUUUUUCAUCUCCGUAACAUAUUCUACAGAUAGAUAUCGAAACUGUACUAAUGUUGCAGAUAUGAUGUCAAUAUACUGUCAAUAGAUCAUUUUCACUGUCUUUUGCUGCUGUGAAAUGC